rnacentral:rRNA from 1 species
UUAAGCGACUAAGCGUACACGGUGGAUGCCCUGGCAGUCAGAGGCGAUGAAGGACGUGCUAAUCUGCGAUAAGCGUCGGUGAGGUGAUAUGAACCGUUAUAACCGGCGAUUUCCGAAUGGGGAAACCCAGUGUGUUUCGACACACUAUCAUUAACUGAAUCCAUAGGUUAAUGAGGCGAACCGGGGGAACUGAAACAUCUAAGUACCCCGAGGAAAAGAAAUCAACCGAGAUUCCCCCAGUAGCGGCGAGCGAACGGGGAGGAGCCCAGAGCCUGAAUCAGUGUGUGUGUUAGUGGAAGCGUCUGGAAAGGCGUGCGAUACAGGGUGACAGCCCCGUACACAAAAAUGCACAUAUUGUGAGCUCGAUGAGUAGGACGGGACACGUGGUAUCCUGUCUGAAUAUGGGGGGACCAUCCUCCAAGGCUAAAUACUCCUGACUGACCGAUAGUGAACCAGUACCGUGAGGGAAAGGCGAAAAGAACCCCGGCGAGGGGAGUGAAAAAGAACCUGAAACCGUGUACGUACAAGCAGUGGGAGCCUCUUAAUGGGGUGACUGCGUACCUUUUGUAUAAUGGGUCAGCGACUUAUAUUCUGUAGCAAGGUUAACCGAAUAGGGGAGCCGAAGGGAAACCGAGUCUUAACUGGGCGUUAAGUUGCAGGGUAUAGACCCGAAACCCGGUGAUCUAGCCAUGGGCAGGUUGAAGGUUGGGUAACACUAACUGGAGGACCGAACCGACUAAUGUUGAAAAAUUAGCGGAUGACUUGUGGCUGGGGGUGAAAGGCCAAUCAAACCGGGAGAUAGCUGGUUCUCCCCGAAAGCUAUUUAGGUAGCGCCUCGUGAAUUCAUCUCCGGGGGUAGAGCACUGUUUCGGCAAGGGGGUCAUCCCGACUUACCAACCCGAUGCAAACUGCGAAUACCGGAGAAUGUUAUCACGGGAGACACACGGCGGGUGCUAACGUCCGUCGUGAAGAGGGAAACAACCCAGACCGCCAGCUAAGGUCCCAAAGUCAUGGUUAAGUGGGAAACGAUGUGGGAAGGCCCAGACAGCCAGGAUGUUGGCUUAGAAGCAGCCAUCAUUUAAAGAAAGCGUAAUAGCUCACUGGUCGAGUCGGCCUGCGCGGAAGAUGUAACGGGGCUAAACCAUGCACCGAAGCUGCGGCAGCGACACUAUGUGUUGUUGGGUAGGGGAGCGUUCUGUAAGCCUGUGAAGGUGGCCUGUGAGGGUUGCUGGAGGUAUCAGAAGUGCGAAUGCUGACAUAAGUAACGAUAAAGCGGGUGAAAAGCCCGCUCGCCGGAAGACCAAGGGUUCCUGUCCAACGUUAAUCGGGGCAGGGUGAGUCGACCCCUAAGGCGAGGCCGAAAGGCGUAGUCGAUGGGAAACAGGUUAAUAUUCCUGUACUUGGUGUUACUGCGAAGGGGGGACGGAGAAGGCUAUGUUGGCCGGGCGACGGUUGUCCCGGUUUAAGCGUGUAGGCUGGUUUUCCAGGCAAAUCCGGAAAACCAAGGCUGAGGCGUGAUGACGAGGCACUACGGUGCUGAAGCGACAAAUGCCCUGCUUCCAGGAAAAGCCUCUAAGCAUCAGGUAACAUCAAAUCGUACCCCAAACCGACACAGGUGGUCAGGUAGAGAAUACCAAGGCGCUUGAGAGAACUCGGGUGAAGGAACUAGGCAAAAUGGUGCCGUAACUUCGGGAGAAGGCACGCUGAUAUGUAGGUGAAGCGACUUGCUCGUGGAGCUGAAAUCAGUCGAAGAUACCAGCUGGCUGCAACUGUUUAUUAAAAACACAGCACUGUGCAAACACGAAAGUGGACGUAUACGGUGUGACGCCUGCCCGGUGCCGGAAGGUUAAUUGAUGGGGUUAGCGGCAACGCGAAGCUCUUGAUCGAAGCCCCGGUAAACGGCGGCCGUAACUAUAACGGUCCUAAGGUAGCGAAAUUCCUUGUCGGGUAAGUUCCGACCUGCACGAAUGGCGUAAUGAUGGCCAGGCUGUCUCCACCCGAGACUCAGUGAAAUUGAACUCGCUGUGAAGAUGCAGUGUACCCGCGGCAAGACGGAAAGACCCCGUGAACCUUUACUAUAGCUUGACACUGAACAUUGAGCCUUGAUGUGUAGGAUAGGUGGGAGGCUUUGAAGUGUGGACGCCAGUCUGCAUGGAGCCGACCUUGAAAUACCACCCUUUAAUGUUUGAUGUUCUAACGUUGGCCCGUAAUCCGGGUUGCGGACAGUGUCUGGUGGGUAGUUUGACUGGGGCGGUCUCCUCCUAAAGAGUAACGGAGGAGCACGAAGGUUGGCUAAUCCUGGUCGGACAUCAGGAGGUUAGUGCAAUGGCAUAAGCCAGCUUGACUGCGAGCGUGACGGCGCGAGCAGGUGCGAAAGCAGGUCAUAGUGAUCCGGUGGUUCUG